rnacentral:rRNA from 1 species
CAGUCGAACGAAGCACUUUAUUUGAUUUCCUUCGGGACUGAUUAUUUUGUGACUGAGUGGCGGACGGGUGAGUAACGCGUGGGUAACCUGCCUUGUACAGGGGGAUAACAGUUGGAAACGGCUGCUAAUACCGCAUAAGCGCACAGCAUCGCAUGAUGCAGUGUGAAAAACUCCGGUGGUAUAAGAUGGACCCGCGUUGGAUUAGCUAGUUGGUGAGGUAACGGCCCACCAAGGCGACGAUCCAUAGCCGACCUGAGAGGGUGACCGGCCACAUUGGGACUGAGACACGGCCCAAACUCCUACGGGAGGCAGCAGUGGGGAAUAUUGCACAAUGGGCGAAAGCCUGAUGCAGCGACGCCGCGUGAGCGAAGAAGUAUUUCGGUAUGUAAAGCUCUAUCAGCAGGGAAGAUAAUGACGGUACCUGACUAAGAAGCACCGGCUAAAUACGUGCCAGCAGCCGCGGUAAUACGUAUGGUGCAAGCGUUAUCCGGAUUUACUGGGUGUAAAGGGAGCGCAGGCGGUGCGGCAAGUCUGAUGUGAAAGCCCGGGGCUCAACCCCGGUACUGCAUUGGAAACUGUCGUACUAGAGUGUCGGAGGGGUAAGCGGAAUUCCUAGUGUAGCGGUGAAGUGCGUAGAUAUUAGGAGGAACACCAGUGGCGAAGGCGGCUUACUGGACGAUAACUGACGCUGAGGCUCGAAAGCGUGGGGAGCAAACAGGAUUAGAUACCCUGGUAGUCCACG